CGCGCCGCCCGGUCCCGGUCCCCAUUACAGCGCGUGGGCGGCGAUCCAGCAGGAGGAGGCGCAGAUCCACAGGCCGAAGGAGAUGCAGACGCGGUGGCGGGCGAAGCAGCGGUCCAGGAAGUGAAGACAGCAGUAUGGGAGAUGUAAGCACAGUAUUAUUUAUGGAGAACUCCAAGACAGAGGACUUCCGCCCCCUUCACUGCUCCUCUCUCUCCCCAUUCUUAAGAGUCGCUGGUGUUGAUGCUGAAAGGUCACAGGGUCUCUUCCAGGAGGAGGAUGACAGUACAGAAGUUUACCC